UACAGAGGUCUCAAGCGUUGUUCGGAUUCACUGGGCUUAAAGGGUGCGUAGGCGGCUUGCCAAGUCAGUGGUGAAAGCCCGCGGCUUUAACCGUGGAAUUGCCAUUGAAACUGGCUGGCUCGAGUGUGAUUGAAGUGGAUGGAAUACAUCAUGUAGCGGUGAAAUGCUUAGAGAUGAUGUAGAACACCAAUUGCGAAGGCAGUUCACUAAAGUCA
rnacentral:rRNA from 1 species